rnacentral:rRNA from 1 species
UACGAAGGGGGCUAGCGUUGCUCGGAAUCACUGGGCGUAAAGGGCGCGUAGGCGGCCAUUCAAGUCAGGGGUGAAAGCCUGUGGCUCAACCACAGAAUUGCCUUUGAUACUGUUUGGCUAGAGACCGGAAGAGGUAAGUGGAACUGCGAGUGUAGAGGUGAAAUUCGUAGAUAUUCGCAAGAACACCAGUGGCGAAGGCGGCUUACUGGUCCGGUUCUGACGCUGAGGCGCGAAAGCGUGGGGAGCAAAAGGG